CCUGUUUAACAUUUGUUUUUAAUGCGUCUCUCAUGAGUGCCCUCAUCCUCUCUGUUCCCUGCCUGCACUUAUCUGAGGGCGGGAUGGGGGGUCAUCAUCUCACAGUUACUCAGACUGAAGCCAGACCUGCUGAUAGUCAUGCUGACCUGAGAGACAGAGAAGCCCUGAAGAGGAGGAAGGAGAAAGACUCAAGAUGGGGGUGGCAGAGGCACAGUACUGAGAAAUGACAGCAUGUGCCGGCCACAGAAGGUACUGACAGGACAGAGGAGAGCAGGGAGGGACAGACACCCGCUGGACUUCACAUGGUGUCUGCGGCAAGUCUUGGAAAGGAUCAAAGCAAGAGGAGAAGGUGACUCAUCCAUAGGAAAGUCACAGCUCUGGAGUGAGCCCAGUAGCUCGAGAUGCAAACGGAGAGGGACAGUAAUGAGUGACGAUUAUUGACACAGUCUGGGCGGCUGCUGGGCCUUGUUCAACUGGUCACCGCAGCCGCUGGCACCGUUGCCAGAAGCAAAGAGCUGAGCUGAGAUUAGAGGACACUCGGUCUGCAGGAAGCCCCAUGGCAGGGCUGUCUCUAGAUUCAGGCAGGAGCUGUGCGCAGUCUCGGAAAAUCCGGGAAUGAGGUCUGGUGAGUGGCUGCUGGUCAAGCCACUCCGUGGGAAUGUACCCGAGAAUAGAUACGCAUGCAGUGUCCCUGCCAGUUCCAGAUCCUGCUCUCGUCAGCCAUACCCGGUCCCUUCCCAGCCUGCCAUCACGGUCCAGUCUGAGAAUACUUGUGAAGUUUUCAUGGUUUCAUCGGAACCCUGAUGCCUUAAGAGCUGGUGUUGCCUAGAACAGAGUGGUCCUGGUUCUGGUGGAAAUAAGAGGGGUUUUGGGGGUAGGGGGUAUGCCUCAGUUGGUGGUCUUAGAAAGUGGGCAUUGUGGGUAAAUAUCUGUGAGCCCAGAACUGAGGAGACAAAGGCAGAAGAUUCAAACCUUAAGGUCAUUCUUGACAGUGGCCUUGGUGGGAAACAUGUGAUCCUGCUGUGGGCAGUGGGGGCAAGAGGAGAGGAAAGAACAGGGAAGGACUGAGUCCAAACUCCAAUUUUCUUAGCAGCAAGUACAUGUGUGAGGAGCAAGACCCAGGGACUCCUGGGUCUCCAGGACUGUGAGAGCAGGGCACUUCUCCAAGAUGAGAGGGAUCUUUGGACUUACCUGGAAACAGCCCUCUGGGAGGGAAGGGGUUGUCUAAGGUCUCAAAGCCUCCCAGGAGCAGGGUUAGGGAUUGUGGUUUUCUCUGGCUCCCUUACUUUGCUUGACCCUCCACCCUUGCACCUGGACCCUGGGCUCUGGGCCAGGUUAAAACUCACAAGGAGACAUGCCGUUCCGAGCU
rnacentral:lncRNA from 1 species